GACGAACGCUGGCGGCGUGCCUAAUACAUGCAAGUUGAGCGAUGAAGAUUGGUGCUUGCACCAAUUUGAAGAGCAGCGAACGGGUGAGUAACGCGUGGGGAAUCUGCCUUUGAGCGGGGGACAACAUUUGGAAACGAAUGCUAAUACCGCAUAACAACUUUAAACAUAAGUUUUAAGUUUGAAAGAUGCAAUUGCAUCACUCAAAGAUGAUCCCGCGUUGUAUUAGCUAGUUGGUGAGGUAAAGGCUCACCAAGGCGAUGAUACAUAGCCGACCUGCGAUGGUGAUCGGCCGCAUUGGGACUGCGACACCGCCCAAACUCCUACGGGGUGCAGCAGUCGGGGAUCUGCGGCCAUUGACGAUAGUCUGACCGAGCUACGCCGCGUGAGUGAAGAAGGUUUUCGGGUCGUAAAACUCUGUUGGUAGAGAAGAACGUUGGUGAGAGUGGAAAGCUCAUCAAGUGACGGUAACUACCCAGAAAGGGACGGCUAACUACGUG
rnacentral:rRNA from 1 species